rnacentral:rRNA from 1 species
UUCGUAGGUGGUUUGGUAAGUUCAAGAUUAAACCUCAUCGGCUUAACCUUUGAGCUGUUUUGAAUACUGCUAAACUAAGAGGGCGUUAGAGGCAAACGGAACCGACAAAGUAGGGGUGAAAUCCGUUGAUAUUGUCGGGAACACCAAAAGCGAAGGCAGUUUGCUGGGGCGACCCUGACACUGAGGAACGAAAGCGUGGGGAGCAAAA